rnacentral:rRNA from 1 species
GACGAACGCUGGCGGCGUGCUUAACACAUGCAAGUCGAACGGAAAGGCCCUGCUUUUGUGGGGUGCUCGAGUGGCGAACGGGUGAGUAACACGUGAGUAACCUGCCCUUGACUUUGGGAUAACUUCAGGAAACUGGGGCUAAUACCGGAUAGGAGCUCCUGCUGCAUGGUGGGGGUUGGAAAGUUUCGGCGGUGGGGGAUGGACUCGCGGCUUAUCAGCUUGUUGGUGGGGUAGUGGCUUACCAAGGCUUUGACGGGUAGCCGGCCUGAGAGGGUGACCGGCCACAUUGGGACUGAGAUACGGCCCAGACUCCUACGGGACGCAGCAGUGGGGAAUAUUGCACAAUGGCCGGAAGCCUGAUGCAGCAACGCCGCGUGCGGGAUGACGGCCUUCGGGUUGUAAACCGCUUUCGCCUGUGACGAAGCGUGAGUGACGGUAAUGAGUAAAGAAGCACCGGCUAACUACGUG